GACGAACGCUGGCGGCGUGCCUAAUACAUGCAAGUUGAGCGAUGAAGAUUGGUGCUUGCACCGAUUUGAAGAGCAGCGCACGGGUGAGUAACGCGUGGGGAAUCUGCCUUUGAGCGGGGGACCACAUUUGGAAACGAAUGCUAAUACCGCAUAAUAACUUUAAACAUAAGUUUUAAGUUUGAAAGAUGCAAUUGCAUCACUCAAAGAUGAUCCCGCGUUGUAUUAGCUAGUUGGUGAGGUAAAGGCUCACCAAGGCGAUGAUACAUAGCCGACCUGAGAGGGUGAUCGGCCACAUUGGGACUGAGACACGGCCCAAACUCCUACGGGAGGCAGCAGUAGGGAAUCUUCGGCAAUGGACGAAAGUCUGACCGAGCAACGCCGCGUGAGUGAAGAAGGUUUUCGGAUCGUAAAACUCUGUUGGUAGAGAAGAACGUUGGUGAGAGUGGAAAGCUCAUCAAGUGACGGUAACUACCCAGAAAGGGACGGCUAACUACGUG
rnacentral:rRNA from 1 species